CCAAUUGCGAAGGCAGCUCACGGGAGUGUUACUGACGCUUAAGCUCGAAGGUGCGGGUAUCAAACAGGAUUAGAUACCCUGGUAGUCCGCACGGUAAACGAUGGAUGCCCGCUGUUGGCAAAUUUGUCAGCGGCUAAGCGAAAGCGUUAAGCAUCCCACCUGGGGAGUACGCCGGCAACGGUGAAACUCAAAGGAAUUGACGGGGGCCCGCACAAGCGGAGGAACAUGUGGUUUAAUUCGAUGAUACGCGAGGAACCUUACCCGGGCUUGAAUUGCCGGUGCACGAUACAGAGAUGUUGAGGUCCUUCGGGACGCCGGUGAAGGUGCUGCAUGGUUGUCGUCAGCUCGUGCCGUGAGGUGUCGGCUUAAGUGCCAUAACGAGCGCAACCCUUUUCCUCAGUUGCCAUCGGGUCAUGCCGGGCACUCUGUGGAUACUGCCACCGUAAGGUGUGAGGAAGGUGGGGAUGACGUCAAAUCAGCACGGCCCUUACGUCCGGGGCUACACACGUGUUACAAUGGCCGGUACAGCUUGUUGGUGUAAUGCAAAUUGCAUCUAAUCUUGAAAUCCGGUCUCAGUUCGGACUGGGGUCUGCAACCCGACCCCACGAAGCUGGAUUCGCUAGUAAUCGCGCAUCAGCCAUGGCGCGGUGAAUACGUUCCCGGGCCUUGUACACACCGCCCGUCAAGCCAUGAAAGCCGGGGGUGCCUGAAGUUCGUAACCGCGAGGAGCGACCUAGGGCAAAACUGGUGAUUGGGGCUAAGUCGUAACAAGGUAGCCGUACCGGAAGGUGCGGCUGGAACACCUCCUUUCUGGAG
rnacentral:rRNA from 1 species